UGUGCAGUCGCCACUCAUUUGUAAAGAGGUU
rnacentral:piRNA from 1 species